rnacentral:rRNA from 1 species
UACGUAGGGACCGAGCGUUGUCCGGAUUCAUUGGGCGUAAAGAGCUCGUAGGCGGCUGUUCAAGUCGAACGUGCAAACUCGGAGCUCAACUCCGAGCCUGCGUUCGAUACUGGACGGCUAGAGUCUGGUAGGGGGAUCUGGAAUUCCUGGUGUAGCGGUGGAAUGCGCAGAUAUCAGGAGGAACACCCGUGGCGAAGGCGGCUCUCUGGGACGGUACUGACGCUGAGACGCGAAAGCGUGGGGAGCGAACAGG